AUCCCAUGGUGCUCCAGCCAAUUAAUAGAGUCAGGUGUGGGCAAUUUGUGGCUGAAGACACCGAGGAGAGACGGUUCUCAACCCCUAACCAAAAGCAGUUCAACGUCAGGCCAUCCUGACAAGCCAAACAAGUCCAUCACCGUGCGAGACUUCUCUCUUGCCAGAAGUUCAUGACCAAGUCUUCCUCUCUUUGACUUGCAGGCACCCACACACGAACACACACUGACACAAACACACAUACAGCACACACACACACUCGACAGUGUAGGUUACUCUGUGUCAGCGACUGUUCUCUGCUGAGAGGCUGUGGGCGGCGUGAUGAUGUCGCAUUACUGUGACGAUUUUCUGUUGCCGCGGAGAUGCUUUCAUGACAGCAGACCGUGGCAUACAAGCACAGACGCAACCACAUACACAACUACCCAUGUAGGUCAGGAGAGGGGAAAAGCAACACGCACAUAUAGAUCCAGACAUAUAGAGGCUCUUUACUGCACCUGUAUGUACUUUAAUAAGGACACUGUGACCCUCUUCGGGUUUUAUUUUAGAUACGGGAGUCACCUUUUGACCUUUUGUCUCACCAGAGUUAGGAAGGUAGAGAGGCAGGGAAAAAGAGCAUCAUCACACCCCUUGGCGUCACUU